ACUCAAAGGAAUAGACGGGGACCCGCACAAGCAGCGGAGCAUGUGGUUUAAUUCGAAGCAACGCGAAGAACCUUACCAAGACUUGACAUCCUCUGAACGGCGUAGAGAUACGCUUUCCUUCGGGCAGAGAGACAGGUGGUGCAUGGUUGUCGUCAGCUCGUGUCGUGAGAUGUUCGGUUAAGUCCGGCAACGAGCGCAACCCUUAUGAUAUGUUGCCAAUAUUAAGUUAGGAACUCAUAUCAGACUGCCGUGGAUAAACACGGAGGAAGGUGGGGAUGACGUCAAAUCAUCAUGCCCCUUACGUCUUGGGCUACACACGUGCUACAAUGGGCGCUACAAAGAGCAGCAAGCCGGUAACGGUAAGCGAAUCUCAAAAAAGCGUUCUCAGUUCGGAUUGAGGGCUGCAACCCGCCCUCAUGAAGCAGGAGUUGCUAGUAAUCCCGGAUCAGAACGCCGGGGUGAAUGCGUUCCCGGGUCUUGUACACACCGCCCGU
rnacentral:rRNA from 1 species